AAAGUGAUCGCGCGCUCGCGGUAAUGACAGGCAGAUACGCGGGAUCACAGGGCUCGCGCUUGCGGCGGGACGCUCGUGAUGUGAGGGACUGCUGCUGACACUGGAAGAUUAGCAGUGAGCAGCACUUUCAGUACACGCCGUAAAGGAUAUUUUGUUGCCAUCUGUCUAAAAACAGAUAAGCAGAAAUCCAAUGUCCCCUCUUGUUGAGAUGGCACAGACCACCCCUCUCUCCCGUACACUGAUGUGACAUUUGACAGAAUCAUUUGGAGAAUAUCUCUUUCUCAUUUCGGCUGCCAUUCUCUUGUCUUUUACCUCUCCCUCUCUCUUCAUCCAUCUUGUAGAAAACAAAUAUUCAGAGGCAGAGUUGUACAAACAGAGCAUUUAGGAUCAAGUAGCCAUUAGUUGCUUUGAAAGGAUAUAUGGGAGGCAGGCCCGGGUGGCCAGACAACAUUUUCACUCUCUUAUUGUUGUUUUACUCUCCGGCUUAAUAGAGCUUUCUGGAGAGAGCAAAAUCCUUUCUGUAUGUCAAGAAUGCUCAGUUGAGUUCCUCACUGUUUUGAAAUAUAACACAGUGUAUAAAGCUUGUUUUGUUAUAGAGGAGUAAAUAUAGUAUGUAAUGUAUUUUAUUUAGAUAAAAUAACUAGGGAUGAUAAACACUCCACGAGACUCCUGUAAAUUGGACUGUAUGUUUACUGUAGGUAGCUGACAUGCAGAAUUGUGUCUAAGGACAUUUUUGAUUGAAAAUAAGAUUUCAGGUUUA